AGUGUGGUGGACCAUCCGUGA
rnacentral:piRNA from 1 species